CCGUGGGGUCGCGACCCUCUCUCAGGAUAGCAAUGCUCAUCAAGAUUGAAACGUGGCAGUUCUACUGGCAAACCAUAGGACUUCGACUUUCUCUUGAGAUGACAAUGCUUUAUCCAUAACUAGAUAGAUAAGUCCAUGCUGACUUAGCUGGUCUUCACAUCCUGCUUCCACUGCAGAAAAGGGCACGUAACCUAGCAAAUGAUUGUAAGACAAAUAACGGACUAAUGUAAGCUAAAUGACAAUAAAAGGCCCAGCCAGAAACCUGGCUGGAGGAGGCAAGCUUGUGAGGAAGCUUGUGCACCCCAUUCCUGUCUCUGCGUCUCCUUGCCGCGACAGCUGGUGACCCCGACGUGAUCCAGAAAAGGCCCGACGUGAUCCAGAAAAGGCCCGACGUGAUACAGAGAAGGUGGCUACGGCCCAGCUCACUUGACUGGAACAGUCUGCGCGCACAUCCUCUACAGGAUCCCAAACAUUUUCUUCAUUUUCCCUGCUGCUGUGGCCCUUGGUGUGAUAUUGACAGUUUCCAGAGACAGCGGAAAGGACCAGCAACCCCCGUCACUUGGGGAAGAGGUUGUGCAGCAGUGUCAACCCCAAUAGGCACAGUAUGGACAUCAGCCAAGUAUCUUAAACCUACACAUGGCAUCAAGGCCUUCAGAACCUAAUAUUUCAAUCCAAUCAACCAUUUCACAUGAUGCUAAACGAUGAACAACAUGAACUUAGAGAUGCCAUUCUAGACAAUGGAGCAGCCAUAGACUAUUUACUUUUACUAUGUGAAGAAAUCAAAAAUAUGUGCUGUAUUAACCCAUAAUUCUAUGUUAACUGUUGUACUUGGUUUAUUAUGUUUGACCAGUGGAGCCCCUUCAGACCAGUGGUAUCAAAGGGGAGAUCAAAAUGUUUGGGAAAAGAGAUUUUGUUUAUAUAUAUCCAUAUUUUGUUGCCACCUGGAUAGUCUUUUAAUUGUAACUGUCAAACUUAUAAUUCUAUACCUGCCAAUGUGUCUGAUGGUACCCAGUGCUGUCUGAGUAGGCUUGUUCCUGUUCUCCAACACCCUUCUAUCUUGGAUGUUUUCAGGUCUCAAAGAGCAGUGACACUCACCUCUGACUAUGACUCUACAAUAUACCUCCAUAGCCCAACUGAAUACUUUUGCUGUGUGAAGACGUCAAGAUAUGUGUUGCCUCAUAUUGUCAGAUAACUCUUGUUCCAUUAAUAAUUUGAUUGAAGAACUACAUGAUUUACCUGACUCAGGUCCACCAAAACCUUGGAUAUUCUGGAUUAUGAAGCUGAUUGAUUUACUAUUUGCCAGACCUUCAUUGGCUGAAACAACUUCUUGUAUAUGGCAUUGUCACUUUUGUAUUAUGAUCCUAUUUUGCUGUUUCAUCCAAUGUA